rnacentral:lncRNA from 1 species
CUUAUGAAGUCGACACCUUAACCUACUAGUAUUUGUAUUUUUUGAAUUUAUAAAUUGGACAUGUUUAUUGCACGUUGCUUAUUUAACGUCCAGGGGAAAAUUGUUCGUGUUCAGGACAAUAACAAAUCAAUAAAUCCAAAAAGUAGGUCAUGUCACAUAGUCUACUUAUAAGGUGCCUUCAAAUGGCUGUUGCAAAGAUUCUCAACUUGCAAUGAGCGUAGCACUAUCUACACGCUUCAUUAUGACCGGACGUGAUUGCGUUCUUGAAUACCCCACACGGCC